rnacentral:lncRNA from 1 species
CUGGAGCCAUAUCUAAAUCACGUUGGGUGUAUCAUUAUUAGUGUAGCCUACUGAGGCCGUGAACAUUUUUUGAGCAUGUCAAAUACGUUAGAAGUACGGCAGUCGUAAGUUGAUAUACGUUGAUAUAUGUGACGGUGAACCCUACAGCCAACUUAUUGAUAACGAGUGGAUAACCUAUUCGUAACCUAUGGUUAACCUAUGUCUGACGUAUCUACAACGUGUCUCGACUUAUUCAGACGUAUUAAAGGGCCAUAUGUCUGGCGUGUUCUGCAUAUCGUCUGCGUCGUUCGAACAAUCACGUGACUUAUGCCUAUUAAUAUGUAGCCGAUCUCACAGAAACAUCAUUCUUCAAGCCGUCAACAAGCAGUCAACAUGCCGCCCAAGAAGAUCUAGAAGAAGGGAGAGGUUGCCAAGGAAGCAUCCAAGGGCCAAGAAGACCAAGCCACCAUCUCCACCUUCCUCUGCAUCACCAUCCUCUUCCAGACACUCCUCAGCUUCUGCACCUACUGCUGCUGAUGUUGCUGCUGCCUCCUAUGCAAGAGUGUUGUCCCAAGAGUCUCUGUCUCCUCCUUGUCGAUCUCCCACUCCGAUCGAUCUGUGACUCCUCCAUCUCCUUCCUGUGAGUCUUCUGUCGCCUCCAACUCAUCUGUGCAGCCCCAGGAGCAGACAAAGAAGAACAGAGCCAAGAAGGCAGAUUUCUCCUUGUCUUGUCGCCCAGGGAGAACCCAUCAUCUGGGACUGCAAGAGGAGCGACUACAGGAGGGCGGACAAGAAGGGCAAGCUGUGGGAUGACCAGGGCACACUCAUGGACAAAACUGAUUUCCAUCUUCAGGGCUGGUUCAAAUCCCUGAGGGAUACGAACACCCGUCUCUAUAAGCACAAGAGUGGGGAUGGGGCAACUGAGCUGACAGAGAGCGAGCAGUGGAUCAAGGACAAGUUCGUCUUCCUGAAGUCUGUUGUCCGACACAGGCCUGAGCCCUGCAAAAGUAUCAAAGCUGCCAUUGAUGAACAUCCUGGUGACCUAGACGCUGCUGAAGGUGCGUGCGCAGAUCUACAGCUUGGCGUGCCCAUGGGCAAGCGGGCGCAGGACGCCGAAGGGGCUCUCCUGUCAUCCCUCCAGCAGCGUAUCGAUGAGUCUGGUGCAGCCCUCAAAGAUCUGCAGGCCAGACAGGAACACCAGCAGCCGGUCACCCAGCGUAGUGCCUUCGCCAACUACGUACGUGAUAGCCUGGUAACCAUGUCCAAGCGGAAGUUCAAGAAGGUGAGGUCAGCCAUGAACCGCAUCCUGUCCGAGGUGAUGGAGGAAGACAGUGACGCCGAUGAGCCCACUACUGCGCUAAAAGUUUAAAUGUUUGACCAAUAAAUAUUCCAAUAUUUUCUAAAUUAGUCAUAACAUAUACAUACAUUAAAAGUAGCAUCUAGUUCAGACUCUAAUUUGGUGUAUUUUAGAAUUUAUUAAAAUUGCAUAAUUGUCCCCACAAACCUUUCUAUGUUAAUAUUUAAACAUAUUAUUAAAUUGGUCAAACAAUGUAAAUUUCACAUUCACAUUCAAUAACUUUAAUAACACAGGGUUUGGGGGAAGAUUACACAAUAGAUAUAUAAUUUUAUUCAUACAUAAUACUACGUCAUAUAAUCAUGUGUGUGAUCAACAUGUUCAUAUGCUACAUCAUCCUGUAUUGUAUCCUGAAUUUCUUUCCGUCCUUGGAGGCGGUGUUGGGUCCAGAGACUGUGUGUGUCCUCUAGGUCAGUGGUUUUCAACCUUUCUGAGGCCAAGGCACACCAAAGACCAAGCCAAAAUCUCAAGGCACACCUGUAUUCAUAUCUGGGCAAAAUACCCUCUAUAACAGUGUUUCUCAAAUUCCCCAUCGGUUUGUGCAACGGGGGGAUGGGGGGGAUGCUGGUGUGUAGUUCACUCUUCUCCUUUCCUCCGCACUGUAGGUGUGUGCGGGAGGAGGGAAUGUGAAUGCGCAAGACAAAAACAAAAAACUUGAAUUUCAUGGGGCGCAGGGUUCCGUUGGGGAAUAUAUAUGUAUGCUGUCGGGGCUCCGGUGCGAGGGGGGGAUGCUGUCGGAGCUCCGGUACGAGUGCUGUCGGAGGAAAUUGAUUAAAAAAAAAAGUUUAAACCAGAUUUUAAAAAGUUGGAUAAUUUCCCACGGUACACCUCAUGGCACACAGUGGUUGAAAAUCCCUGCUCUAGGUCAGUGGUCUAGGCCUCCUCCAGCACACACCUAUAGAGCGGAGGAAAGGGGAGGAGUGAACUACGCACCAGCACCAGGAAGUUUAUUAUCUGUGUCUGGUUUAACCACCAUCGGACUUUGUUGAGCUUGUGAGGGAUUCAUUAUCUAGCUCGCAUGAAGACAUCCGUUGUUUGUGCAAUUGUGCAGAGUUCCAUCUACAGGCAAUACCAUUCUAGAUUUACAGUGCUGCAACGUAGGAUGAGUUCUGGUACUGAAAGUAUAACCUCAUAACCAGUUUCUCUAGCUCGAAUUAGAACGAGCAAGGCUUGUAAUUGUUUUUUUUGAAAAGCAAAAACUGCUGCAGCUAGCUCCUGAUAACAAAGUGGCAAGCCUGACUCAAUGUUGUCUAAUUUGAUGCUGUAAUAUGCCAGAAGUUGUUUUCGUUAAGGUAAAUCUGCAUCAACACUGCACUGGCCAAUCCUGAUCGUUCUGCGACAUACAUUGCUGGAUUUGUUUCUUACAUUCUGGAUGUUGUUUUAUUAUCGCCUCCACUGGUGGAGACACUCCAUCUCCCUUUGUUACUUUUAUCCCCAUGUAUCCCUGUCUGGUUCUGCUUGCUAGUGAUCUGGGGAUUUCUGGGUAUCACCUCCUUCCAUGGGAACUCCUCCUGUACUUGCUUAAAACAAACAAACUUUGCGAUGUCCUACAGUUUUAAUUCAAUUACUUGUUUAUCCUGCUGUUGGUCUACACCUUCCUUAUCAAAGAAGGUUAAUUCCAACCAAAAAUGUGCUCUUAUUUUUUGGGUAUUAUGCCAUGUCUGAGUGCCAGGCUCUGCAGCUGCUGGCGCACGAGUCUGACUACUUCCAUUGUUUAUGCACUUCUGUGGCAAGGUCUUUUUAAAAUCUCAAUUGCUGGUUCUUGUAGAGGAUGUCUUUCUUCCAUGGCAGCCUUUAUUACAAGCUCGUUGUGCUUAUAAUUCAGGAACUUCAAUAUUAAAGUCUAUUAAAGCUCUCCUCGGCCCGACACAAUGUGCUCUUUCCAUCGCUAUUGGACAUCGGAAAGGAUCCAGAUCAAGCAUCACUUAGUGGCUGUAGCAACUCAAAUUCAGCACCAGUUAACCUUCUGACUCAUCACCAGCCCCAGCUGCAGCGCUGGGUCUCACCUGUUUGUAUAGGAACUGAAGGUUUGCUAAUCCAGUGGGGAGUUGGGGUGGUCAAGGAUCAAUUUUGUCAAGUUGAACAAUUAAAAUUCCAAAUCAAAUUAUUCAAAUUCAGUUCUAGUGAUACAUAUUUCUGCUCAUACAAACGUUCUUACCCAACUUUUGCAGUAACUUGUCGUGAGGUCAGUAACGGGGUAAGCACUGUUCUAUGAAAGCAAAUAAUACUACUACAGAAAACACGUUAAAUCUAUUGAUGACUUUUUGAUAUUGUACCACACAGACAAAUGAGAUGGGAUAAAAAUCUAACUCUGCCAAAUAAUAAACAUCUAAAUGUGUAAGGUUUAAAGGUUAGAAACUCUUCUGAAAGCUAUUAGGCAAAAGUAAAACAUAUACCGAGAGGGCAAUGCUAAAUAAAAAUAUACUAAUAACAUAACAAUAAAGUAAAGUAUUAGAAAAUAUAAAUAAUAAAUAUAUAUUAUAACAGAAUAAUAAUAUGUGUGUGUGUUCUGUGCACAGUGG